CUUUCAUUUUCCCUUUCGUCCAGUUCCCGCUCUCUUCCUCUUCUUCCUGUCUGCAUCUCUUCUGCAAAUGGAAACCCACCUAGUUUCGUGCUACCUCCCCCUCUUUCCCUGCUCGGUCUCUAUUACCCGCGAUUCCCACAACCUUCAUUAAGCCCAAAGCCGGCAUCUCCACCAUCUCCGGCGCUUUCUUCUGCAACUACUCGAACCCGACUCAUUCCCUUCUCCUCGAAGCCUCCCUGAUCUCGUUUUCUUUCAUCAUCCUCAGUGACCCAGAGCCUAUGGCCGCCUUGACAGCUCCCCGGCCACUUCUCGUCGUCCCCCACGUGGCAAUGCGUCUCUGGAUGCCUAGAUUUGAACAAGUGCGGACCUAUUCGUUGGGACCACGACAAACACCCGGCGAUGAUUUUGUGAUUCUUGAAGGAGACUCUUCGGAUCCAAGAACGCUCCGAACAGAUGAGCUUUCCUUCUCCUUUAUUAGUUUUUUUUUUUUUUGUUGAUUUUUGUUUUUUGGUUAUUUUGGUUGUGAAAUCUGAGGGAUGCGUCUACAAUAUUGCGAAUACUGGCUUAUGAUGAACGGGUAUUGGAUGUUCUAGUGUCUCGGGUGAGGGAUUGGAGUUCUUGUUUAGUGUUUCAGGGUUAGGGUUUGAGCUCGUGUCAAUGGUAGAGAAAAAUGGAGGAAGACGGGUUGAUCUCGUCUCGUCCCUGGUGAGUGGGACAGGGCGUGGGUUGACUCAGACGAAUAAACCCGGGUGAGUUAGGAGCUCGGGUAAGGCAUGUGUGGGUGAACACACAUGGGGUCCAGUUGGUGAGUGGGCUUGAGAUACGGGCUUAGUGCUUUAAAAGGGUGCGAAUGGGCUUCAAAGGUGAGUUAAGGUUUUACUAGGCCUAUGGUUUAAAACUGAUAAUGGGCUUUGGGUUUGUUCAAAACAGGAGCUAGGCUAGGCUUUUAAAAAACAGGCCGGUGGUCUUGGAUUGAGUUGAAAGUUUGAAUGGACUGGGGUAGUUUGAAGUUUGAAUGGGCUUUAGCCAUGGAUUCAGGUCAGGAUUGUAAAAGUGGGCUUGGGUUAAAUAAGCACGCCACGGGCACCUAGGUUUGAAAGGGGGCUAGGGUACGGGUCAGACAGGACAAGACUCGGUAAUCUGGAUAUUGGGGAGAUGGGUCACCCGAAUUAGGAUUCGGGUUCAAGGAAAUGGAUUUGGAGUCUAAAAUCAUAUCUAAAAGCUUGAAUGAGAGUUCAGGGGUACCUACACUCGUAAUCACAUAUACAGUAAUGUUAUAGGAAUUGAAUAAAUGGAUACAAAAUUUUACCUUUCUCUUUUUCUCCUCCGGACUUCUUUUCCAGCCUAAGUAUGUGUUUGAUAUGAACGCCUAUCCUAAGUGAACUAUUAAGGAUCCGUCUCCUAGGCUCUGAAUGGAAGGGUCUGAACCUCUGUUGCAGGUUCUCAGGCUCUUAUUUUCUGCACAGUUUCUCUGUACUCUGCAAUUUGGGAGAGUUUCUCUCCUUAAUUUUUUGAGUAAUCCCUCCUAAUUCUGCAAAAUUUCCCUGUGGUGCUCUAUCUCUCUCUCAAUUAAAAUUUUCCAGAGUUUUCUAAGCUCUCCCCUCAGUUUUCCUUCUAUUUCCCCAGCGUUUCUCUACGCUCCCUAUUUCUAUAAGGACCCAAACCGUGAUAUAUGGAUUUAUUGUGUAAAAGAGGGAAAUAUGGAAUUUGCACAGAUUGUCGACGAGGCCAUAAUUUGUCGACGAAGGUAGAAGACUUCUCGUCGACGAAAUUCAAAGGCUCGUCAACCAAGAAAAGCAGAGGGGUUUAGGAAAAUUUGGAAUAUCUAGCUCGUCGAUGAGGCUGCCGAUUCGUCGACGAAACUAGUGAAGAAUUUGUCGAUGAGGACACCAAUUCGUCAACGAAUGCACUCGGGUCAAAGGUACUAUAAAGGAUAUUUUGGGUUGCUUUGGGGCUAAGUUUCCCCAAGCUCUCUCUCUCUCUCUCUCAAGAACUCUCCCUACACUCUCUUUUUCUAGCUUUGUUUGCCGAUCGUUGCCCGGUUCGUAAAUCCAACGAUACUGCGAGGAUCAGUGAAGGAUUCUCUACGUUUCUAGCGGAUCGAAAUCUCGUUUCGGGCUAAAAUUGAGGUAAGGCUCUGUUUUCGUUCCUGAUUCAGUAUAUAUAUAAUAGUACAAAUUGUAAGCAUGUACUGUACUGUGAUUUGUAGGUUUUGGAGUCUCGGUUCGUAGUUUUGAGGAUCGUAGAGUUCGCAGUUGGAAAUCGGGUUAAGGUAAGAUGAUUCUGUUUAUAUCAGUCCAUUUUCGAAAUCAGGAUCGGUAAGCUUGUAGGCUACAAUCGUAUGUAUGUUUUGGCUACUUAUUUAGGGAAAUCUAUCAAGUAAAAAUGUGGGAUUUUCGGGGUAUAGUUUUUGGGAAAAUUAGGGAUUUCAGGAAUCAUCUCUACUUUGUUUGGAAAACUGUUGAUUAUGUUAAAACUGUAUUAUUGAGGUGACAGUAAUCCAUAUUUGCAUAAAUUGUAUACUUGAAUUUGUAAACGAUAUGAUUUUCCGUAAACCAAAUAAGUGUGGUAUGUAUGGUUGUAUGUAUUUGUUCCAAGUAUUUGUAAAACAGCUAUGUGGCAGUUAAUUACCGUACACUGAAAUGUAUAGGAAUGUGAGUUCCAAAAUGAUUCCAGGGAUUUGUAAAAUAGCCAUGUAUCGGUUAACUACUGUGGGCGAGAGUAGCCGGCUCUAUAUCCGAGGUGUGAAAUAUCACCAGUAUGUUUCGGUUGGUCACCAAAGGGGGUGUUCUACACCAUAUGUAGCAAUGUAAUUACUGUGGGCCUAGGUCUUCGCUUCGUAGUUGCAUGUGUAGCAAUGUAAUCGCUGUGAGAUUAGGUGACCUUGUGUAGUUGCGUAUGUAGCAAUGUAAUCACUAUUGGGCCUGAGUCGUCGCAUUGUAGUUGCGUAUGUAGCAAUGUAAUCGAUGUGAGACUAGGUGACCUUGUGUAGUUGCGUAUAGAACAAUGUAAUCACUGUGGGCCUCGGUCGUCGCAGCGUAGUUGCAUAUGUAGCAAUGUAAUCGUUGUGAGACGAGGUGACCUUGUGUAGUUGCGAACUAGUACGACGACACUGAUCGUAUGUUUUGGGUAUCGUAUGUACCGGAAUGGUUUUUAUGAAAAUACUGGAACUGUAUGUAUAUGUAUGGUAUUGUAUGGAAAUGUUUCGAACUAUAUCGUAUUUUAUAGUGUUAUGAAGUAUGUAAAAUAAUACUAGUAUGCCACACACUGAUAUAACCUGUUUUCUCCCUUACUGAGAGGUGUCUCACCCCGAAUAUAUAUAUAAAUAUUUUUCAGGUCUUUCGGGUAGUCGAAACUAACAUCCUAGCGUCUGGAAGCAAGGGGUGUCAUUUAGCUACUACUAGUACCUGUUAAGUACGAGUUUUGGUAUCCAGGUUGUCAGGAUGGUUUUUGCUGACACCUGGGGUAUGUUUGUAUUAUGGGAAUGUAAAUACUAACUUGUAUAGACUCUAGUAUGAUACUGUUGUUGUAUAAAAGAUCGUAUUCCGCUACGUAUAUUUGAAUGAGUAUGGAUGGUUAUGCGUAUGUAAAUAGGGCAUCCGUUCACCCCAAGGGGUCGGACCCUCUCUUUGGCAUUAUAUCAUGUAUGUUUUAAUUGAUAUAGAGAGGUUAGGUUACUUUAUUCACACUUGGGACCCACCUGCGGGUUCGGGGCGUGACAAUUUCUCUCCUCUCCUAAUUUCUGUAGGGCUCUAUUUGCUCUCUCUAAUUUUCUCUCAAUUCUUGGAGAGUUUCCAUGCUCUCUGAGGGGUGUCUUUGCAGUGUGUGAGCCUAUCACUAUUUACAGGGAGUUGGCGCAGCUUCUUGGCACUAAUUUCAUUCCCUUGCAACCAAUUUUGUCAGGGAAUAAUAUUCCCUGCACGUGUGACUGAUUUGAUUUUUUUUAUCCUCCGUUAACCAACCCUCCCUUUCCUGAACGCAGGUGAUCCUGAAAGGAAUGGAGAGCUUUUGGGAGGUUUCCAGAUGGCAGCACCAGGAUGGAGGGAAAGGUGAUUCUCAGUUUGGCCAGAUGGCUCUUGAAGAGAGGAGGGUUUUUGGGAGUUCCAUGUGGCAGCAUGGUGAUGGAGGGCUUGGCAUCUUCAUUUUUAUUGAAUUUUGUAUUUUCUAUUUUUGUCAUUUCUGCAUGAAUGUAACCCCGAGGUUACCACCUGUAACCAUUAUUUGUAUAUUUUAUUAUUUCCUGCUUUAUUUCAC